GUGAGCCAUAAGAGUUGUUUGGGUUUGGUCUUAAGUUAGAUUAAUUUGUACACAUAUAAAUAUAUGUGAUGUAAUUUGAUUACAGAGGGAAUAUAACCAUUUUUCUCCAUAAUCUCUCUCUCAUCUCUUCUCCCUCUCUUUUGUUGAUGCCUCCUCUAGAGGAGAAAACCCUAGCCGCCACCCAUAAAGGGAAAAUCUCAGAUGCCCUA
rnacentral:lncRNA from 1 species